CCCUUUGUGUUUGAUUCUGGCUCAGGACGAACGCUGGCGGCGUGCCUAAUACAUGCAAGUAGAACGCUGAAGAGAGGAGCUUGCUCUUCUUGGAUGAGUUGCGAACGGGUGAGUAACGCGUAGGUAACCUGCCUUGUAGCGGGGGAUAACUAUUGGAAACGAUAGCUAAUACCGCAUAACAAUGGAUGACACAUGUCAUUUAUUUGAAAGGGGCAAUUGCUCCACUACAAGAUGGACCUGCGUUGUAUUAGCUAGUAGGUGAGGUAACGGCUCACCUAGGCGACGAUACAUAGCCGACCUGAGAGGGUGAUCGGCCACACUGGGACUGAGACACGGCCCAGACUCCUACGGGAGGCAGCAGUAGGGAAUCUUCGGCAAUGGGGGCAACCCUGACCGAGCAACGCCGCGUGAGUGAAGAAGGUUUUCGGAUCGUAAAGCUCUGUUGUAAGUCAAGAACGAGUGUGAGAGUGGAAAGUUCACACUGUGACGGUAGCUUACCAGAAAGGGACGGCUAACUACGUGCCAGCAGCCGCGGUAAUACGUAGGUCCCGAGCGUUGUCCGGAUUUAUUGGGCGUAAAGCGAGCGCAGGCGGUUUGAUAAGUCUGAAGUUAAAGGCUGUGGCUCAACCAUAGUUCGCUUUGGAAACUGUCAAACUUGAGUGCAGAAGGGGAGAGUGGAAUUCCAUGUGUAGCGGUGAAAUGCGUAGAUAUAUGGAGGAACACCGGUGGCGAAAGCGGCUCUCUGGUCUGUAACUGACGCUGAGGCUCGAAAGCGUGGGGAGCGAACAGGAUUAGAUACCCUGGUAGUCCACGCCGUAAACGAUGAGUGCUAGGUGUUGGAUCCUUUCCGGGAUUCAGUGCCGCAGCUAACGCAUUAAGCACUCCGCCUGGGGAGUACGACCGCAAGGUUGAAACUCAAAGGAAUUGACGGGGGCCCGCACAAGCGGUGGAGCAUGUGGUUUAAUUCGAAGCAACGCGAAGAACCUUACCAGGUCUUGACAUCCCGAUGCUAUUUCUAGAGAUAGAAAGUUACUUCGGUACAUCGGUGACAGGUGGUGCAUGGUUGUCGUCAGCUCGUGUCGUGAGAUGUUGGGUUAAGUCCCGCAACGAGCGCAACCCCUAUUGUUAGUUGCCAUCAUUCAGUUGGGCACUCUAGCGAGACUGCCGGUAAUAAACCGGAGGAAGGUGGGGAUGACGUCAAAUCAUCAUGCCCCUUAUGACCUGGGCUACACACGUGCUACAAUGGUUGGUACAACGAGUUGCGAGUCGGUGACGGCAAGCUAAUCUCUUAAAGCCAAUCUCAGUUCGGAUUGUAGGCUGCAACUCGCCUACAUGAAGUCGGAAUCGCUAGUAAUCGCGGAUCAGCACGCCGCGGUGAAUACGUUCCCGGGCCUUGUACACACCGCCCGUCACACCACGAGAGUUUGUAACACCCGAAGUCGGUGAGGUAACCUUUUGGAGCCAGCCGCCUAAGGUGGGAUAGAUGAUUGGGGUGAAGUCGUAACAGAGGUAACAGAA
rnacentral:rRNA from 1 species